GAGCCCCAUGUUUAAGAGUGGAUGCUCUUGAAAAGACCUCCAAAAAUCUGAGUUUAGGAAUGUUCUCUAUAGUAAACCUUUUCAAUUCUUCCUCCUGUGGUUAUGGUUGUUAAAGCCUGUAUUUUAAGUUAUCUAAAAGUUCAUCUGUUGGAAGCUUGGUCUCCAGUAGGUGGCGCUCUUGUGGGGUAGUAGAAACAUUAGGUAUGGAACUUCUUUGAGUUAAGUUGGGUUAUUAGGGGCAGUUCUUGAAGGCCCCUCCUUUGUCCUGCAUCUCAGUCACUGUGCCAUGGUCAGCUUUGCCCUGUCAUGAAUUCCCAUUUUGAUGGCUGGCCUUGCUACGGGUCUAAAGUGACAGGGCUUGGACUAACACCUCUGAAACUGAGUAAAAAGUUAAGUCCUUUUAACUUGAUUAUCUACAGGGACAGCAAAGAAAAAAAAUGUUAUCAAUGUCUGCUGCUACUCAGGGUACAGAGGGGUACAGAGGCUCUUUCCUAACUAAGCCAUAAGCCAAGAACACCUCUCACUACAUAUUGUGGGUUGUGAUUCUAAAUGACAUCUCAAGAUGGGCUGCUAACGUAGGACUUUUCUCUUGAUGAAGUCUCCAUGUUAUAGUUUAAAUCCUUUUCCACAAUGAACACAGCCAACACUCCCUUCUUACAGGAGUCACCAUGUAACCUUCCCUACGAUGAUUCUGUUUCUCUGGGUGAAACCCUCUCCUGUGUCCUGCAUACACUGGAAAGUCCCAUGAAUGCCUUAUGGUGUUGAAACACAAAACUACCCUGGAGCAAACGUGGAACUGAUGUGGUCAUGUUGACAACCAAGAAUGGCCGUCACAAGCACAUCACAAACACAAGUCUAUGAAAUGGCCUCCAUCUUCCCAAGCCUAGUCAAUUCACCCGCAGAAAGCUCAUCCUAGAUACAAACCCAGAUGUGCCAACUGACUGAUAUGCACCACCAAGCUCACUCAGGACCAUUACCGGAGAAAACACUGCCAAGGUUGAAAUGUUCAGCAGCAGAGGUGGCUAAGUUACGGUUCAUCAAUAGAAUGGGAAAGGGCACAGCCUGUGCAUAGAUGGACCCAACAUGUGUAUGCUGUCAUCGAUGUCUAAGUGAACAGAGAGCUGUGGAGGAAUCGUGAGAAAUGCUAUAACGUGUCUUUUCUAGGAGUUACCCAUAAAUACAAAAUCCUAGAAGAGAUGUGUUUUCCGGAGUGAAGGACUCUGAGUUGGUUUUGGCUUCUGAGCCCUCAGUGUACCACUUACAAUAGAGGAGUUUAAACUGGAAUUUAUGCUGUAGUUUCUGUAUCAGCAAGGAGUUCCUCCCAUCCCUCAGAGAAUGUAGAGAACACCAGCCCCUGAGGAAACAGUGACUGGAGACGUACCGGAUACUCAAAAAGAGAGUUGAACCUUCUAUUGUUGGCCUGCAAAAUCCUUUCUUCUGAAAGAAAAGGAGAGACACAAUGAGUACAUCCCCUUAGGUAAGCUGGAUGCUGUGCUAGUGAAGACCUCAGCAGUCCUCAUACCUUCUUG